GCGCAGGUAGCUCAACGGACCCAGAGCGACCGUCUUCUACACGGAGGGUUGGGGGUUCGAAUCCCUCCCUGCGCG
rnacentral:tRNA from 1 species